GAGUCGAGCGGAUGAGAAGAGCUUGCUCUUCGAUUCAGCGGCGGACGGGUGAGUAAUGCCUAGGAAUCUGCCUGGUAGUGGGGGACAACGUUUCGAAAGGAACGCUAAUACCGCAUACGUCCUACGGGAGAAAGCAGGGGACCUUCGGGCCUUGCGCUAUCAGAUGAGCCUAGGUCGGAUUAGCUAGUUGGUGAGGUAAUGGCUCACCAAGGCGACGAUCCGUAACUGGUCUGAGAGGAUGAUCAGUCACACUGGAACUGAGACACGGUCCAGACUCCUACGGGAGGCAGCAGUGGGGAAUAUUGGACAAUGGGCGAAAGCCUGAUCCAGCCAUGCCGCGUGUGUGAAGAAGGUCUUCGGAUUGUAAAGCACUUUAAGUUGGGAGGAAGGGCAUUAACCUAAUACGUUAGUGUUUUGACGUUACCGACAGAAUAAGCACCGGCUAACUCUGUGCCAGCAGCCGCGGUAAUACAGAGGGUGCAAGCGUUAAUCGGAAUUACUGGGCGUAAAGCGCGCGUAGGUGGUUUGUUAAGUUGAAUGUGAAAGCCCCGGGCUCAACCUGGGAACUGCAUCCAAAACUGGCAAGCUAGAGUACGGUAGAGGGUGGUGGAAUUUCCUGUGUAGCGGUGAAAUGCGUAGAUAUAGGAAGGAACACCAGUGGCGAAGCGACCACCUGGACUGAUACUGACACUGAGGUGCGAAAGCGUGGGGAGCAAACAGGAUAGAUACCCUGGUAGUCCACGCCGUAAACGAUGUCAACUAGCCGUUGGAAUCCUUGAGAUUUUAGUGGCGCAGCUACGCAUUAAGUUGACCGCCUGGGGAGUACGGCGCAAGGUUAAAACUCAAAUGAAUUGACGGGGGCCCGCACAAGCGGUGGAGCAUGUGGUUUAUUCAAGCAACGCGAAAACUUACCCUUGACUGCAGAUUUCAAUGGAUUGGCCCGCUCUGCCUCAUGGUCGCACUCGCGAGGGUCCUACAGCGCCACUGACUAACGA
rnacentral:rRNA from 1 species